UGCUUUAACAAAUUAUCAGAUUUCUGCAAUUCUCUGAUCUGAUUCAACAAUGAAGGUCUCACAACGAAACUAGCAAGUAGGGUUCCAUCCUCACCAUUAUUCAACUGGAUCCCUAGAGAUUUCAUCUCAAGUAAUAUCGAAAAAUAAGAACUCCGAAGUGUUGCUAACGACGAUGAGGAUUUACGACUUAAGGCAUCCGCUACAACAUUU
rnacentral:lncRNA from 1 species